CUUCGCAGUAUCAGCAACAAGGGUUACAGUGGCCUGGCUCGAUUCGCCAAACCCGUCGCUCGCACAGAGAAUUAUCCAUCGCCAACGGAUUACUUCCCUCGCUUUCCUACUAAAAUCAAAUCACACAAACGUCCACUUCCGUCUGUCAGCAAACGGAGAUACUUUUAUUCCGACGAUAAUCCAGGACCCGGAAUGUACGUGAGCAAAAAGAUUCAAGGUAUCACCUUUGAGAACAGUUUCGGCGGCAGAGUUAAAAUGCAAUUAGGCGUCGAUCUCAAGUGUUGCCGCCGAAUCACGGACACUUGCGACUUGUGUAAGACAAAACCCACGGGAGAUUAUUGGCAUUUGAACGAUAAGAUUUUCUUGUGCCGAACGUGUAUGACGAGAGAGUUUCAACGCCAAGUAAAAUUUAAGAGGAAGGAACUCAAGUUAUUUCGCCAAGUAAGAGAUUGCUCGCAUUUUCACGUUCACGAAGGUAGCGACGCGAAGAUAUGGCUGAUGCCACCCGCCACGGUCAACCAGUGGAGCAGAAGAGAGGCGUAUCUCUCAGCUUACUUGAAGGAUUAAAUCAAACAGAAGUAAUCAAGAAAAAAUCCUUCUCUCUCCAAUUUGAUCCUCCAUCCAGUGAUGUUUUUCUGCAAUCAAUAUAAAUUUGUCGCAUAUAUGAACAUUUUUUUUUCCAUGGAUCGCG